GCACCAAAGAAAGAUUCUCUUAUCACAUUUUUUGGCAGAGAGGGAAAGAAUUGCGCCUAUUUCAGUUGAUUGUUCACCCACCAUUUACUACACUAUUCCAACAUUUUUAUUGACUCUUUUCGUUGGAAUUUUCCAUCGAGUUCAAGGAAUACUACUUCCACUCUACCUUUUCAAACUUCUUUGUUGUUUGCUU
ensembl:ncRNA Y40C5A.21 ncRNA